CUAUACAUGCAGUAGAACGCUGAAGAGAGGAGCUUGCUCUUCUUGGAUGAGUUGCGAACGGGUGAGUAACGCGUAGGUAACCUGCCUUGUAGCGGGGGAUAACUAUUGGAAACGAUAGCUAAUACCGCAUAACAAUGGAUGACACAUGUCAUUUAUUUGAAAGGGGCAAUUGCUCCACUACAAGAUGGACCUGCGUUGUAUUAGCUAGUAGGUGAGGUAACGGCUCACCUAGGCGACGAUACAUAGCCGACCUGAGAGGGUGAUCGGCCACACUGGGACUGAGACACGGCCCAGACUCCUACGGGAGGCAGCAGUAGGGAAUCUUCGGCAAUGGGGGCAACCCUGACCGAGCAACGCCGCGUGAGUGAAGAAGGUUUUCGGAUCGUAAAGCUCUGUUGUAAGUCAAGAACGAGUGUGAGAGUGGAAAGUUCACACUGUGACGGUAGCUUACCAGAAAGGGACGGCUAACUACGUGCCAGCAGCCGCGGUAAUACGUAGGUCCCGAGCGUUGUCCGGAUUUAUUGGGCGUAAAGCGAGCGCAGGCGGUUUGAUAAGUCUGAAGUUAAAGGCUGUGGCUCAACCAUAGUUCGCUUUGGAAACUGUCAAACUUGAGUGCAGAAGGGGAGAGUGGAAUUCCAUGUGUAGCGGUGAAAUGCGUAGAUAUAUGGAGGAACACCGGUGGCGAAAGCGGCUCUCUGGUCUGUAACUGACGCUGAGGCUCGAAAGCGUGGGGAGCGAACAGGAUUAGAUACCCUGGUAGUCCACGCCGUAAACGAUGAGUGCUAGGUGUUGGAUCCUUUCCGGGAUUCAGUGCCGCAGCUAACGCAUUAAGCACUCCGCCUGGGGAGUACGACCGCAAGGUUGAAACUCAAAGGAAUUGACGGGGGCCCGCACAAGCGGUGGAGCAUGUGGUUUAAUUCGAAGCAACGCGAAGAACCUUACCAGGUCUUGACAUCCCGAUGCUAUUUCUAGAGAUAGAAAGUUACUUCGGUACAUCGGUGACAGGUGGUGCAUGGUUGUCGUCAGCUCGUGUCGUGAAAUGUUGGGUUAAGUCCCGCAACGAGCGCAACCCCUAUUGUUAGUUGCCAUCAUUCAGUUGGGCACUCUAGCGAGACUGCCGGUAAUAAACCG
rnacentral:rRNA from 1 species